AUGAACGCUGGCGGCGUGCCUCAUACAUGCCAGUCGCGCGAACAGAUAAGGAGCUUGCUCCUUUGACGUUAGCGGCGGACGGGUGAGUAACACGUGGGUAACCUACCUAUAAGACUGGGAUAACUUCGGGAAACCGGAGCUAAUACCGGAUAACAUUUGGAACCGCAUGGUUCUAAAGUGAAAGAUGGUUUUGCUAUCACUUAUAGAUGGACCCGCGCCGUAUUAGCUAGUUGGUAAGGUAACGGCUUACCAAGGCAACGAUACGUAGCCGACCUGAGAGGGUGAUCGGCCACACUGGAACUGAGACACGGUCCAGACUCCUACGGGAGGCAGCAGUAGGGAAUCUUCCGCAAUGGGCGAAAGCCUGACGGAGCAACGCCGCGUGAGUGAUGAAGGGUUUCGGCUCGUAAAACUCUGUUAUUAGGGAAGAACAAAUGUGUAAGUAACUGUGCACGUCUUGACGGUACCUAAUCAGAAAGCCACGGCUAACUACGUG
rnacentral:rRNA from 1 species